rnacentral:rRNA from 1 species
GGACUACCCGGGUAUCUAAUCCUGUUUGCUCCCCACGCUUUCGUGCCUGAGCGUCGGCGCUGGACCAGGAAGCCGCUUUCGCCACUGAUGUUCCUUCCGAUAUCUACGCAUUUCACCGCUACACCGGAAAUUCCGCUUCCCUCUUCCGCACCCUAGCUUCGCAGUCUCGAAUGCAAUUCCCAGGUUGAGCCCGGGGCUUUCACACCCGACUUACGAAACCGCCUACGCACGCUUUACGCCCAGUAAUUCCGAUUAACGCUUGCACCCUCUGUAUUACCGCGGCUGCUGGCAC